rnacentral:sRNA from 1 species
UUGCUAUCUGCAAGAUGGAAGAUUCGAACCUGCCGCAGGUUCGGGUCUCACGUAGUGAGACAACGGAGCCGUUUACGGCGCCGGCCCGAAGGGCGAGCGCAGCGAGUCAUCCUGCACGACCCACCA